GGACGAACGCUGGCGGCGUGCUUAACACAUGCAAGUCGAACGAUGAAGCUGUGCUUGCACAGUGGAUUAGUGGCGAACGGGUGAGUAACACGUGAGUAACCUGCCCUCCACUUUGGGAUAACUCCGAGAAAUCGGGGCUAAUACUGGAUAUGACCUUGGCCCGCAUGGGUUKUGGUGGAAAGUUUUUCGGUGGGGGAUGGGCUCGCGGCCUAUCAGUUUGUUGGUGAGGUAGUGGCUCACCAAGGCGAUGACGGGUAGCCGGCCUGAGAGGGCGACCGGCCACACUGGGACUGAGACACGGCCCAGACUCCUACGGGAGGCAGCAGUGGGGAAUAUUGCACAAUGGGCGAAAGCCUGAUGCAGCGACGCCGCGUGGGGGAUGACGGCCUUCGGGUUGUAAACCUCUUUCAGCAAGGAAGAAGCGAAAGUGACGGUACUUGCAGAAGAAGCGCCGGCUAACUAC
rnacentral:rRNA from 1 species